rnacentral:rRNA from 1 species
UACGUAGGGACCAAGCGUUGUUCGGAUUUACUGGGCGUAAAGGGCGCGUAGGCGGCAAUUCAAGUCAGCUGUGAAAUCUCCGGGCUUAACUCGGAACGGUCAGCCGAUACUGCGGGGCUAGAGUGCAGAAGGGGCAACUGGAAUUCUCGGGUGUAGCGGUGAAAUGCGUAGAUAUCGAGAGGAACACCUGCGGCGAAGGCGGGUUGCUGGGCUGACACUGACGCUGAUGCGCGAAAGCUAGGGGAGCGAACGGG